rnacentral:lncRNA from 1 species
CCAGGCCCAGAAGUGUAAGAUCCGGUGCCUAUCUUCAGGCGGGUGGCAAACAAACAUCACAUAAAGGAGAGUGUCUGGCUUGUGUCUUCUGGGUACGUGAUCCCCCUGACUUCAGUGUGAGAAUGUGGCCAGAGCGUCUGGGGAAGACAGGGAGAGUUGUCAGAGAGGAGUUUUGAGGAGGCCCUGAAGGCUCGCCGGCUGUUAAGGCCUGAGCUGUAGUGGGCAAGAAGAGAUGGCCAGUUCAGGUAGAGGAAGCCUGCUUUGAGCUGAAGACCGGAGGUGAAUCUGGACAGGGCUUCCCAGGACCAGUAUUUUUCCCUCUCCACCCUGGUCUUCUCCUGUAACGUGUGGCCGCCUUUUCCAGCACGGCCUCCUGCCUUCCUGGUGCACUUUUUGGAGAACGUGGUGGAAUCAGAGGUUUCUGGCUGACUCGGUGGGUGCUUUGAACCAGGAAAGGACAAGAAAGAGGUGCCACCUCCUGAGUCCUGGUUCCUGCGGCUCCGUCGAAUCUGCAGUGAAGGCCUUUGGGAAGCGUGGGUUAUGUGGGUCCAGGGGUCCCAUCCUCCCGUGGAGGCCCUUGACCUGAGGAUCACUAACUCACACCCCACCGACUUCCGGCCCCCAACAAGGGCAGUGUUCCUCUUGCUCCAUUCUGCUCUGAAGUCCCCCAAACCGCUUCCUGGGGCUGCUUAGUGAAAUACAAGGCUCAUCUCUGAGGACCUCUACAGGGCUGGAUGGGAAGGACUGAUCCACAUUCCCACCAGGAAGUUUAGCAGAACCCCCGCGUGCCACCUGGACCCCUUGGAAGGACCUGGCUCAGGCUGGACCACCUCUUGAGAGGCAGGAGCUCUGGAUUUGAUCAAGAAUUCUUUGCUGAGCAUGGUGCCUCAUGCCUAUAAUCCCAACACUUUGGGAGGCCAGUGUGGGAGGAUCUCUUGAGCCCAGGAGUUCAAGACUAGCCUGGGCAACACAGAGAGACCCCAUCUCUAAAAUAAUAAUAAUAAUAAAAUAAAAAAUUAGCAGGGCAUGGUGGCAUGUGCCUGUAGUCCCAGCUACCCAGGAGGCUGAGGCAAGAGGAUGGCUGGAGCCUGGGAUGUUGAGGCUGCAAUGAACUGUGAUUACCCCACUGCACUCCAGCCUGGGCAAAAGAGCGAGAGACCCUGUCUCAAAUAAUAAUAAUAAUAAUAAUCUUAUUUUGGAGAAUAAAGAGACCUCUGGAUUUGAGGUGCCAUUUGGGUAGAAAGAAAAGACGUUUACACCGAGAAAUAGUCUGUGUUGCCCUGAAGGAGCAGAGGGAUGCAUCGCUGGAGGUGACCUACAGUUGAAGAAGACUCAUUAUGACAGACCUUGUCCUUCUUCCUUGUGGAAAGUGUUUCCUCUGCUGCUACUGCUCAUGAGACUCUUCCCCCUCCCUGUCCCAGGGAACCAAAGGGCUUUCUACCACACCCUUUCUUGCCCCCCGCCUCCCAUGUCUGCUGUGCCUUUGUACUCAGCAAUUCUUGUUUGCUCCAUUAUCUUCCAGCCGGAUACAGAGUGAAUAGUUAACCACACUUAGGUCAAAUAGGAUCUAAAUUUUUGUUCCUGCUCCGUGUAAAGAGGCCAGUGUUUGUGUGUUGCAAGCAGCCUUGGAAUAGUAACUCUUCUCAUUUGUUUGGGAUCUGGCCACCAAGUUCCAGAAUGAUACACGGAUCAGUGCAGAAGUUCAUCAGGCUCUCGGACCUUAGGGCUGUUGGAGAAGGCUUCAGCAGCAGAACUGAUGGUGAAGGCUCGUGUUCUCCAUCCUCAACUUUCUUUGCUUCGAUCAUACACAAGAAUACAUUUGGAAGGGCAAAAAAUGAACACUGUCGUUCAUUGCAGCCGUGUUUUGUGACACAGAUGCACAGUCUGCUGUGAAGACCUUCUCUCAAGUGGCAUUUGGGAGUCCAUGCCAGAUCAUGGUGCUUCAUGAGAGACUGACAGCUAUCAGGGGUUGUGGCACUUAGUGAGGACUCUCCUCCCCCAGUGUGUGCUGAUGACACAUACACACCUGACAAUAGCUUGAGUCUUCUCUGUUCCUUUUACUCUGUAGCCAACAUACACAUGAUUUAAAACCCUUUCUAAAUAUCUAUCAUGGUUCAUCCUUGUCCAAAUGCAGAGUCAGAGCUAUUUGUACUUCAUUAUUAUUUCCAAGGCGAAUAGUUGGCUUUCUUUUUGCAAAAAUAAUUAAA